UCAAAUUAUUAUGGGUUUAUGGGGAAUGCCUUGGCGUCAAAAGCCGAAGAAGGGCGUAGCAAGUCUGCGAUAAGCCUCGGUUUGCUGACUAGCAAGCUUAGCCGGGGAUACCCGAAUAGGAAAACCUGAUCAUAUGAUCAGCCUUUUUAUAAGGUAGGUAAGCAGGAGAACUGAAACAUCUAAGUAUCCUGAGGAAAAUAAAUCAAACGAGAUUCCCUAAGUAGCGGCGAGCGAAAUGGGAUCAGCCUAAACCGUGUGGGAUUUAUCCUGUGCGGGGUUGUAGGGCACUUUAUAUAAGAGUUACAAAAAGUCAUUUUAGUAGAAUAGAUUGGAAAAUCUAACCAUAGAGGGUGAAAGUCCCGUAAACGAAAAGAUGACUUCUCUUAAAGUGUUCCUGAGUACGACGGGACACGUGAAAUCUUGUCGGAAUCUGGGGGGACCACCCUCCAAGGCUAAAUACUUUUGACGACCGAUAGUGAACUAGUACCGUGAGGGAAAGGUGAAAAGAACCCCGUGAGGGGAGUGAAAUAGAACUGAAACCGUAAACCUACAAACCGUGGGAGCUUGUUUUAUAUGAGUGACCGCGUGCCUAUUGAAGAAUGAGCCAACGAGUUACUUGAUAUGGCAAGAUUAAAUAGUUAAGCUAUGAAGUCGAAGCGAAAGCAAGUCUGAAUAGGGCGAUUUAGUCGUGUCAAGUAGACCCGAAACCGUGUGAGCUACCUAUGGCCAGGUUGAAGCGAGAGUAAAAUCUCGUGAAGGACCGAACCCGUGUACGCUGCAAAGUGCUGGGAUGAGCUGUGGGUAGAGGUAAAAUGCCAAACGAACACGGAGAUAGCUGGUUCUCCCCGAAAUGUAUUUAGGUACAGCGUUAUGUAAAUACUUCAUGGAGGUAGAGCACUGGAUAGACUAGGGGGCGCAAGCUUACCAAACCUAACCAAACUCCGAAUACCAUGAAGGGUAUCAUAGCAGUGAGACUGUGGGGGAUAAGCUCCAUUGUCGAAAGGGAAACAGCCCAGAUCGCAAGUUAAGGUCCCAAAGUAUAUGCUAAGUGUUAAACGAAGUAGGGUCGCCCAGACAGCCAGGAGGUUGGCUUAGAAGCAGCCAUCCUUUAAAGAGUGCGUAAUAGCCCACUGGUCAAGGGGCCCCGCACGGAAAAUAAACGGGGCUAAAGCAUAUCACCGAGACUGCGGGAUUUAAUUUUUUAAAUUAGAUCGGUAGGGGAGUGUCGUUAAAGCGCUGAAGCUGAGCUGUAAGGCUUGGUGGAGUUUUAACAAGUAAGAAUGUUGGCAUGAGUAGCAAAAAUGCCGGUGAGAAUCCGGCAGGCCGUAAGUCUAAGGAUUCCUACGCAACGUUGAUCGGCGUAGGGUUAGUCGGGCCUAAGGCGUAUCCGAAAGGAAAAGUCGAUGGACAGCUGGUAAAUAUUCCAGCACCUUCAAAUUAUUGUUUGAUUCAAAGGGGUGACGCAGAAAGAUAAACAGAGCAUACGUAUUGGACAUCGUGUGUUUCUGCCUGUAAGAGAUAUAGAGAGGGUUAAAAUACUUUCUAUGCUUGAUCUGAGGGGUGGGAGAACUAUGAAGUUAGCUUCGUAGAAUUCUGUUGACUCUAGACUGCCAAGAAAAGCCUCGUUGAUUAGAUAUUUUGAAGACCGUACCGCAAACCAACACAGGUAGACAGGGAUAAAAGUCCCAAGGCCUUCGAGAGAACCAUCGUUAAGGAACUCGGCAAAUUGACCCCGUAACUUAGGGAGAAGGGGGACCUUUUAUGUAUAUGAGCUUGCCUCAGAAAGCGUGAAAGGUAGCAUAAAAUAGGUUGAAGCGACUGUUUAUCAAAAACACAGGUCCAUGCCAAAGCGAAAGCUGAUGUAUAUGGGCUGACGCCUGCCCAGUGCCGGUAGGUUAAGGAAGGUGGUGCAAGCUACUGACUGAAGCCCCGGUGAACGGCGGCCGUAACUAUAACGGUCCUAAGGUAGCGAAGUCCCUUGUCGGGUAAGUUCCGACCCGCACGAAUGGCGUAACGACUUCAACACUGUCUCAACGAUGGACUCGGUGAAAUUGCAGGACCGGUAAAGAUGCCGGUUACGCGCAGCAGGACAAAAAGACCCCGUGGAGCUUUACUGCAACUUGGCAUUGGUUCGAGUUUUAAAAUGUGUAGGAUAGGCGGGAGACUAUGAACUUCAGGCGUUAGCCUGGGGGGAGUCGCCCUUGAAAUACCGCCCUUUUUAUGAUUUGAACCUAACCUUUUGGAACAGUGUCUGGUGGGCAGUUUGACUGGGGCGGUCGCCUCCCAAAGAGUAACGGAGGCGUACAAAGGUCACCUCAAGCUGGAUGGAAAUCAGCUUUUGAGUGCAUUGGCAUAAGGUGGCUUGACUGCGAGACUUACAAGUCGAGCAGGGACGAAAGUCGGUCAAAGUGAUCCCACGAUUCCGAGUGGAAGGGUCGUGGCUUAACGGAUAAAAGCUACCCCGGGGAUAACAGGCUUAUCUCCCCCAAGAGUUCACAUCGACGGGGAGGUUUGGCACCUCGAUGUCGGCUCGUCGCAUCCUGGGGCUGAAGAAGGUCCCAAGGGUCGGGCUGUUCGCCCGUUAAAGCGGCACGCGAGCUGGGUUCAGAGCGUCGUGAGACAGCUCGGUCUCUAUCCGCUGUGCGCGUAGGAUAUUUGAAGGAAUUUGCUCCUAGUACGAGAGGACCGGAGUGAGCAAACCAAUGGUGUAUCGGUUGUAACGCCAGUUGCAUCGCCGAGUAGCUAAGUUUGUUAGGGAUAAGCGCUGAAAGCAUCUAAGUACGAAGCCCCUCCUGAGAUAAGAUAUCCCAUCUCUUUAUGAGAGUAAGAUCCCCGGUAGACUACCGGGUUGAUAGGCUACGUGUGUAAGCAUAGUAAUAUGUUCAGCUAAGUAGUACUAAUAGAUCGAGGAUUUGAUGAU
rnacentral:rRNA from 1 species